GUGUCAGCAGCCGCGGUCAUACGGAGGAUCCAAGCGUUACCCGGAAUUAUUGGGCGUAAAGAGUUGCGUAGGUGGUUUAUUAAGUGAUGUGCGAAAUCUGACGGCUCAACCGGAAGUUGGUAUUUCAAACUGAUAAACUUGAGGAUGGUAGAGGUGAGUGGAAUUGCUGGUGUAGGAGUGAAAUCCGUAGAUAUCAGCAGGAACACCCAUGGCGAAGGCAGCUCACUGGGCCAUUCCUGACACUGAUGCACGAAAGCGUGGGGAGCGAACGGGAUUAGAUACCCCGGUAGUCCACGCUGUAAACGAUGGAUGCUAGCUGUUGGUCGUAUCGACCCGAUCGGUAGCGAAGCUAACGCGUUAAGCAUCCCGCCUGGGGAGUACGAGCGCAAGCUUAAA
rnacentral:rRNA from 1 species